GAUGAAGAACGUAGCGUAAUGCGAUACUUGGUGUGAAUUGCAGAAUCCCGUGAACCAUCGAGUCUUUGAACGCAAGUUGCGCCCGAAGCCACUAGGCCGAGGGCACGCCUGCCUGGGCGUCACACGCCGUUGCCCCCCCAUCUACUCCUUCGGGAUUGCGGGGGGGCGGAUGAUGGCCUCCUGUGCGCCUAGCCGCGCGGUUGGCAUAAAUACCAAGUCCUCGGCGACGCACGCCACGACAAUCGGUGGUUGCGAAACCUCGGUUGCCCGUCGUGUGCGUUCGUCGCGCAUCGAGGGCUCGAAAAAAUGCUCGGCUCCGGCUGGGCUUUCAACGCGACCCCAGGUCAGGCGGGGUUACCCGCUGAAUUUAAGCAUAUCAAUAAGCGGAGGA
rnacentral:misc_RNA from 1 species